GUUAUGGCUGAGACACCGGGCACACCAGUGGCCCACGGCCCACUCUGUUCACACCGACACCUUCUGUUGAUGCCCCUUUUUCAGAUGCUCCUGUCCAGUUCCCGGGGUUCCUGUUUGCUGUCCACGUCUUGUUCUCCAGGAUACCCUGGCUUCCUCUGACGGCACUGCUUUGGGAUGACCCCGAACUGUCUUCCACGUGUGGCUCUGUCCAUAAAGUGUUCUAAAAAUCGACACCUCCCAUAGGAAGGACCCAGCUUCCCUUCUGCCUGCUCAGGUUUGGAUGCGAUUUGACUCCCCAGGGUCCAGGUAGUGGAAGCCUGGUCCUCAGCGGGGCAACGUGAGAGGAGGUGACCUGGCAGGAGGCCCUGGGGUCGCUGCAGUCUGUCCUUGGAAGAGAACACUGAUCUUCGGGAGUCAGUUCUCAGGAGAGUGAGUUGCUUUAAAAGCCUGACCCCCGAGCCUCGCUCUGACUUCCGAUUUCAAGAUGUGAUCUCUUACUUCUGCAUGCACUUCCUCCAUUCCACCCGAGGGUCCCACCCAGAAGCCAAAGCAAUGGGACAGCAUGAUGGUGCACUUUCAGCCUUCAAACUGUAAGCUAAAUAAACCUCUUUUCUU
rnacentral:lncRNA from 1 species